UUGUUUAGCGUCGUGUAUUCAGACACGACGUUUUUUUGUGCGCUUUUUUAAUUGGUGUAUAUAAAAUUGUAUAAAAAUGUGUAAAAUAUGCAAUUUAUAUUCAUUUUUAAUUACUA
rnacentral:sRNA from 1 species